AGAUGAAUUUGUUUGCUUGCCUGGCUUCACCCAGUAAACCUCCCUAGUUUCAGACCUAUAUUAGAACUAAUGGGAAAUUGACCGGAAAGAUAAAUAUGGAUGCACUUUUGUUCUGGCAGCAAUCAUUUAGAUUGCCGCUGACUGCAUUGAGUCAUUAACCUCCUCUGACAGGACCAAGAGAAGCCAAUGAGAGAAAGCGAUCUGAACGGCUUGCAUUUACAGCACAAAUCUCAGCAAGAAUUAAUCAUUUAUUGUUGUUUUACUUCAAGUGGGGUACAACAGGGGCCAGAGCAAGAUGGAAAUAAGGAGGAUCUGCAUCCACCACAUGAGGACCGCAGCUGAUAUAGGCCCCAAAACCGAAAAAGAGGGUUUUGGUGAAGCGUGGGACGUUUAGUGGGGAAACAAGCACACAAACGACCCUGUUACAGGCCUCCAAGCUCUAUGUGAUCAACCCUUUUGACAAGGUCAAACCCGCUGGAUAUCUGCAGUUAGCACUGCCAAGGAACGCGACAUGUCAUCAAGUGUUUGCCUAAUCCACAUUUGAAUUGCAUCAUAUCAACACACAAACACAACCCCACAAGUCCUGACCUCCGUCUUCACUGGAGCCCAUAACUAUGGAAAUAUUCGGAUGUGGAUUGCAUCCCACAAGCUGAUUGCCAAAGUUACUGCUCAGAUAUAAAUAGAUGUUUUUUUGACUCAAAGGAGCAAAUUCUCGAAGCACAUCAAGACUGCGUAUCUAUUUUAGCAUUGCUGUUACUUUCUGCUGGAUUCCCUCAGUGUAUCGUGUGUUAAAACAAUGCAGACAGUAUUGAACAUGGUCUGAAAAAACAUUGCUAUCAGUGGAACCAAUUCAUAUUUAGUUAAUUUCCUGGAAAAUGUGUCAACUACAGUACAUGUAUUAGUGCUAUUUUAGUAGCUUUGAAAUACUAUUUUAGUUUUUAUUACUAUUUUUAAUGAAUGUCUUUAAAGGCACUUAAGUAAUCCCUUUAUUUAUUUAUUUAUUUAUAAUUUAUAUUUUGUUAUUGUUGUGUAAAAUCUUCUAUACUUAUGUUUAAUCAUUAUGGAUUCUUUUACUUAUAUAUUUAUUUAUUUUUCUUUGACAUUUCAGCAUUGUGUUGGUAUAGGAAUUAAUAGUAAGAAAAGGAGAAAAAAUGAAUGCUUUUGGAAGUGCUUUUGUUACUGAACAAUUUCAUGUUUUGAUAAAAAUAAAUAAAUAUAUUUUUAAUGAA